UACGUAGGGUCCGAGCGUUGUCCGGAAUUACUGGGCGUAAAGAGCUCGUAGGUGGUUUGUCGCGUUGUUCGUGAAAACUCACAGCUCAACUGUGGGCGUGCGGGCGAUACGGGCAGACUAGAGUACUGCAGGGGAGACUGGAAUUCCUGGUGUAGCGGUGGAAUGCGCAGAUAUCAGGAGGAACACCGGUGGCGAAGGCGGGUCUCUGGGCAAUAACUGACGCUGAGGAGCGAAAGCGUGGGGAGCGAACAGG
rnacentral:rRNA from 1 species